CAGAUGUAGAUGUUCCCACAUCAGUUGAUACAAGUAUCACCUCCCCAGAGCCCAAAUCAGUUGAUACGAGUAGUAUCACCUCUCCCAUUCCUUCAGACUCCCAAGCACCUGCCCAUCCCACUCCAUAGCCCAGCCACCCACUCUCAUGUACCAUAUGACCAUCCCAGUAAGCAAGCCAACCACUAGAAUUUGACUGGCAUGCACCUGUGACUUACAUAAACCAGGACCUCUACAUAGCCUACAUGUCUUCAUUUUGCUGGAGGUAAGGAAUUCUCAGUUGUGUUUAAUGUUUGCAUACGUACAAUAAAUUUUGUACACCUAAGUGGUUACAUACUGUCCUUUAAUAUUAAUUCUUCAUUCCAGACUGCCCAUCAUCCUAGCCUGUUAUCUGUGAUAAAGCACACUGAAGUUAGGUUUGGAAUGCAUCCUUAUCAUGAAUGCUCUACACCUCCACCUCCAUCUCCCACAACCUAGGUAACAGCUUUGAGACUCACUAAAAGUUGGUAAGUUAUGUAAGGAAUUUCUAAAUUAAGUUUUAUACUACAUGUUAUAUGUGAUAUUAAACCACUGUAUGGUGCAUAUUACUGUAUGUAACUUACUAUGCAUAGA